rnacentral:rRNA from 1 species
CCUACGGGUGGCAGCAGUGAGGAAUAUUGGUCAAUGUGCGCGAGCCUGAACCAGCCAAGUAGCGUGAAGGAUGACUGCCCUACGGGUUGUACACUUCUUUUAUAAAGGAAUAAAGUGAGGCACGUGUGCCUUUUUGUAUGUACUUUAUGAAUAAGGAUCGGCUAACUCCGUGCCAGCAGCCGCGGUACUACGGAGGAUCCGAGCGUUAGCCGGAUUUAUUGGGGUUAAAGGGAGCGUAGAUGGGUUGUUACGUCAGUUGUGAAAGUUUGCGGCUCAACCGUAAAAUUGCAAUUGAUACUGGCAGUCUUGAGUACAGGUGAGGUAGGCGGAAUUCGUGGUGUAGCGGUGAAAUGCUUAGAUAUCACGAAGAACUCCGAUUGCGAAGGCAGCUUACUAAACUGCCACUGACAUUGAUGCUCGAAAGUGUGGGUAUCAAACAGGAUUAGAUACCCGGGUAGUC